rnacentral:lncRNA from 1 species
GAAGCACUACGGAAAAAAAGAUAAGGAAGUUUUGGAGGAAGUAACAAGGAGUACUAAAACCCGGAACAAAAAAAACAAUAACAAAGAAAAAAUAAAUCCCCAGGCUAGCAACCCCAACCAGCCCAAAAGAUCAGCUACGAUAAAAAAAACAUGCAAAAAUACCCAUAAAAAAUAAGGCUAUACUAACCAAACAAGAAAAACUAAAG